CAGAGUAGGCGAUAAAGCGUACAGUGUCCGGAGAACGGGGAGUUGUCUUCGGAACGAAGGGGGAACCCGCGGUUUUGUCGCUGCAUCCCGCUGU
rnacentral:ncRNA from 1 species